rnacentral:rRNA from 1 species
GACGAACGCUGGCGGCGUGCUUAACACAUGCAAGUCGAACGGAAAGGCCCUGCUUUUGUGGGGUGCUCGAGUGGCGAACGGGUGAGUAACACGUGAGUAACCUGCCCUUGACUUUGGGAUAACUUCAGGAAACUGGGGCUAAUACCGGAUAGGAGCUCCUGCUGCAUGGUGGGGGUUGGAAAGUUUCGGCGGUUGGGAUGGUCCUGCGGCUUAUCAGCUUGUUGGGGUGGUAGUGGCUUAACAAGGCUUUGACGGGUCGGCGGCCUGAGAGGGUAACCGGCCCCAUUGGGACUGCGAUACGGCCCAGACUCCUACGGGAGGCAGCAGGGGGGAAUAUUGCACAAUGGGCGGAAGCCUGAGGCAGCAACGCCGCGUGCGGGAUGAAGGCCUUCGGGUUGUAAACCGCUUUAGCCUGUGACGAAGCGUGAGUGACGGUAAUGGGUAAAGAAGCACCGGCUAACUACGUG